rnacentral:rRNA from 1 species
AUUGAACGCUGGCGGCAUGCUUUACACAUGCAAGUCGAACGGUAACAGGCCGCAAGGUGCUGACGAGUGGCGAACGGGUGAGUAAUGCAUCGGAACGUGCCCAGUCGUGGGGGAUAACGCAGCGAAAGCUGCGCUAAUACCGCAUACGAUCUAUGGAUGAAAGCGGGGGACCGUAAGGCCUCGCGCGAUUGGAGCGGCCGAUGUCAGAUUAGGUAGUUGGUGGGGUAAAGGCCCACCAAGCCAACGAUCUGUAGCUGGUCUGAGAGGACGACCAGCCACACUGGGACUGAGACACGGCCCAGACUCCUACGGGAGGCAGCAGUGGGGAAUUUUGGACAAUGGACGCAAGUCUGAUCCAGCCAUGCCGCGUGCGGGAAGAAGGCCUUCGGGUUGUAAACCGCUUUUGUCAGGGAAGAAACGCUCUGGGUUAAUACCUCGGGGUAAUGACGGUACCUGAAGAAUAAGCACCGGCUAACUACGCGCCAGCCGCCGCAGUAAAAC